CUCGCUCCAAAAUUACAACACGUGGAUAGCUUUUUAGGGGUUCCACUUUCAUGUGUUUUUAAUACUAUAUUCUUCUAUGAUUUCACAUUAUGUAACCUCCCUCUCCACUAUCCUUUGACCUGCUUCUCCAACCUCUCUAUUCCUUAUUUCGUUCAACCUAAAUCGGCGGUUACAGAAUACUCCGUUUCCACUUCUCCUUAUUCCACUACCUCUGUGCAGCGGUUAUGUUUUUCUUUAAUCAUGCUUUAUUUUCAUUCAACGUUAAAACUAACAGAAUCUCAAAUCUUAAAAGUUUCAAAUUUCACAUUUGAAAUAAUCAAAUCCCUAAAAUUUGAAUUGCACAAAAGUUUCAAACCACAAUGGUAG